GGGGGCGACUUGGCUUCGACGUGGGUUGCAAAACCGGCGGUGCAUGCCGAGGGUGCAGAUUUCCUCGUAAAUCCAUUCUGCUAGCAAGUAAUUGCAAACGACGAAAACUACGCUCUAGCUGCUUAACCC
rnacentral:tmRNA from 1 species